rnacentral:rRNA from 1 species
CCUACGGGGCGCAGCAGUGGGGAAUAUUGGACAAUGGGCGAAAGCCUGAUCCAGCCAUGCCGCGUGUGUGAAGAAGGCCUUCGGGUUGUAAAGCACUUUCAGUGGGGAAGAAAGCCUUGGGGCUAAUACCCUCGAGGAAGGACAUCACCCACAGAAGAAGCACCGGCUAACUCCGUGCCAGCAGCCGCGGUAAUACGGAGGGUGCGAGCGUUAAUCGGAAUUACUGGGCGUAAAGCGCGCGUAGGCGGUCUGAUAAGCCGGUUGUGAAAGCCCCGGGCUCAACCUGGGAACGGCAUCCGGAACUGUCAGGCUAGAGUGCAGGAGAGGAAGGUAGAAUUCCCGGUGUAGCGGUGAAAUGCGUAGAGAUCGGGAGGAAUACCAGUGGCGAAGGCGGCCUUCUGGACUGACACUGACGCUGAGGUGCGAAAGCGUGGGUAGCAAACAGGAUUAGAUUACCCUAGUAGUC